rnacentral:rRNA from 1 species
GGGUCAGUAGGUUGGUCGUGCCACCGGUACGUACUGGUCUCACUGAUUCCUCCUUCCUGAAGAACCGUAAUGCCAUUAAUUUGGUGUUGCGGGGAGACAGGACUGUUACUUUGAAAAAAUUAGAGUGUUUAAAGCAAGCUAACGCUUGAAUACAUUAGCAUGGAAUAAUGAAAUAGGACGAUCGAUCCUAUUUUGUUGGUUUCUAGGAUUGACGUA